GAACUGGGAUUACUACUACCUGCGUGAGCGGACGAAACAACAACACCUAAAAUGUGGAAUAUAGCAUAUAGUCGACAAGAGAAAUCUACGAAAAAACAAACAAAACUUUCAACAACGGAUCUCUUGGUUCUCGCAUCGAUGAAGAGCGCAGCGAAAUGCGAUACCUAGUGUGAAUUGCAGCCAUCGUGAAUCAUCGAGUUCUUGAACGCACAUUGCGCCCCUCGGCAUUCCGGGGGGCAUGCCUGUUUGAGCGUCGUUUCCAUCUUGCGCGUGCGCAGAGUUGGGGGAGCGGAGCGGACGACGUGUAAAGAGCGUCGGAGCUGCGACUCGCCUGAAAGGGAGCGAAGCUGGCCGAGCGAACUAGACUUUUUUUCAGGGACGCUUGGCGGCCGAGAGCGAGUGUUGCGAGACAACAAAAAGCUCGACCUCAAAUCAGGUAGGAAUACCCGCUGAACUUAAGCAUAUCAAUAAGCGGAGGAA
rnacentral:rRNA from 1 species